GAGCGCAUAGCUCAAUUGGUAGAGCUGCGCCCUUACAAGGCGAAGGUUGCGGGUUCAAGUCCUGCUGUGCUCA
rfam:Monoraphidium neglectum strain SAG 48.87 mitochondrion, whole genome shotgun sequence.